UAAAACCCAAAUGUUGAUAUA
rnacentral:piRNA from 1 species